ACUGCAUUAAGGUCCACCUCCCACUCACUUUCUGGGAGAAGAUCAAAGUGACGCAUUUCAAGAUUGCUAAAAACAGCACGUGCUUCAUAAUAAGGAAAACCAGGCCUCGGAAGUAGAAUAUUUGCAGUUGGGCGAGCAAGAACAUUCAAAAUUACUUCAAUGAAACCAGGCCUUGGAAGCAGAAUAUUUGCAUUUAGGCGAGCAAGAACAUUCAAAAUUACUUCAAUUGCUUGAGUACAUCCAAUUGUCAGAUAAACAUCAUCAGGGGACAGCUUGUUUGGAAGAUCUUGGGAUAAGUAUUCCGCUACAGC
rnacentral:lncRNA from 1 species